rnacentral:snRNA from 1 species
CUGUCACCCCAUUGAUCACCGGGGUUGAUUCAGCUGAUCUGGCUGCCUAGACGG